AGUGAACGCUGGCGGUAGGCCUAACACAUGCAAGUCGAACGGCAGCACAGUAAGAGCUUGCUCUUACGGGUGGCGAGUGGCGGACGGGUGAGGAAUACAUCGGAAUCUACUUUUUCGUGGGGGAUAACGUAGGGAAACUUACUCUAAUACCGCAUACGACCUACGGGUGAAAGCAGGGGAUCUUCGGACCUUGCGCGAUUGAAUGAGCCGAUGUCGGAUUAGCUAGUUGGCGGGUUAAAGGCCUACCAAGGCGACGAUCCGUAGCUGGUCUGAGAGGAUGAUCCGCCACACUGGAACUGAGACACGGUCCAGACUCCUACGGGGGGCAGCAGUGGGGAAUAUUGGACAAUGGGCGAAAGCCUGAUCCAGCAAUACCGCGUGGGUGAAGAAGGACUUCGGGUUGUAAAGCCAUUUUGUUGGGAAAGAAAAGCAGCAGGUUAAUACCCCGCUGUUCUGACGGUACCCGAAGAAUAAGCACCGGCUAACUUCGUG
rnacentral:rRNA from 1 species